UGCCUUGGUGAUAUUGCAGGCGGUCC
rnacentral:piRNA from 1 species